AUCUAUGGCCAUAGAACCCUGAAUGUUCCUCAACCCAUCAUCUCAGAAGCUAAGCAGGAUGGGGCAUGGUUAGUGCUGCCAGGUA
rnacentral:rRNA from 1 species